GGGUUGUGAGGUUAAGCGACUAAGCGUACACGGUGGAUGCCCUGGCAGUCAGAGGCGAUGAAGGACGUGCUAAUCUGCGAAAAGCGCCGGCGAGGUGAUAUGAACCCUUGACCCGGCGAUGUCCGAAUGGGGAAACCCAGUGCAAUCCGUUGCACUAUCGUUAACUGAAUACAUAGGUUAACGAGGCGAACCGGGGGAACUGAAACAUCUAAGUACCCCGAGGAAAAGAAAUCAACCGAGAUUCCCCCAGUAGCGGCGAGCGAACGGGGAGCAGCCCGGAGUCUGAAUCAGCUUGUGUGUUAGUGGAACGGUCUGGAAAGUCCGACGGUACAGGGUGAUAGUCCCGUACACGAAAGCACACAUGCUGUGAACUCGAAGAGUAGGGCGGGACACGUGGUAUCCUGUCUGAAUAUGGGGGGACCAUCCUCCAAGGCUAAAUACUCCUGACUGACCGAUAGUGAACCAGUACCGUGAGGGAAAGGCGAAAAGAACCCCGGCGAGGGGAGUGAAAAAGAACCUGAAACCGUGUACGUACAAGCAGUGGGAGCACCUUCGUGGUGUGACUGCGUACCUUUUGUAUAAUGGGUCAGCGACUUAUAUUCUGUAGCAAGGUUAACCGUAUAGGGGAGCCGAAGGGAAACCGAGUCUUAACUGGGCGUUAAGUUGCAGGGUAUAGACCCGAAACCCGGUGAUCUAGCCAUGGGCAGGUUGAAGGUUGGGUAACACUAACUGGAGGACCGAACCGACUAAUGUUGAAAAAUUAGCGGAUGACCUGUGGCUGGGGGUGAAAGGCCAAUCAAACCGGGAGAUAGCUGGUUCUCCCCGAAAGCUAUUUAGGUAGCGCCUCGUGAACUCAUCUUCGGGGGUAGAGCACUGUUUCGGCUAGGGGGCCAUCCCGGCUUACCAACCCGAUGCAAACUACGAAUACCGAAGAAUGUUAUCACGGGAGACACACGGCGGGUGCUAACGUCCGUCGUGAAGAGGGAAACAACCCAGACCGCCAGCUAAGGUCCCAAAGUCAUGGUUAAGUGGGAAACGAUGUGGGAAGGCACAGACAGCCAGGAUGUUGGCUUAGAAGCAGCCAUCAUUUAAAGAAAGCGUAAUAGCUCACUGGUCGAGUCGGCCUGCGCGGAAGAUGUAACGGGGCUAAACCAUGCACCGAAGCUGCGGCAGCGACGCUUAUGCGUUGUUGGGUAGGGGAGCGUUCUGUAAGCCGUUGAAGGUGUGCUGUGAGGCAUGCUGGAGGUAUCAGAAGUGCGAAUGCUGACAUAAGUAACGAUAAAGCGGGUGAAAAGCCCGCUCGCCGGAAGACCAAGGGUUCCUGUCCAACGUUAAUCGGGGCAGGGUGAGUCGACCCCUAAGGCGAGGCCGAAAGGCGUAGUCGAUGGGAAACAGGUUAAUAUUCCUGUACUUGGUGUUACUGCGAAGGGGGGACGGAGAAGGCUAUGUCAGCCGGGCGACGGUUGUCCCGGUUUAAGCAUGUAGGCGGAGGUUCCAGGUAAAUCCGGUACCUUUUAACGCUGAGGUGUGAUGACGAGGCACUACGGUGCUGAAGUGAUAAAUGCCCUGCUUCCAGGAAAAGCCUCUAAGCAUCAGGUAACACGAAAUCGUACCCCAAACCGACACAGGUGGUCAGGUAGAGAAUACCAAGGCGCUUGAGAGAACUCGGGUGAAGGAACUAGGCAAAAUGGUGCCGUAACUUCGGGAGAAGGCACGCUGAUGUGUAGGUGAAGCCCCUGCGGGCGGAGCUGAAAUCAGUCGAAGAUACCAGCUGGCUGCAACUGUUUAUUAAAAACACAGCACUGUGCAAACACGAAAGUGGACGUAUACGGUGUGACGCCUGCCCGGUGCCGGAAGGUUAAUUGAUGGGGUUAGCUGUAAGGCGAAGCUCUUGAUCGAAGCCCCGGUAAACGGCGGCCGUAACUAUAACGGUCCUAAGGUAGCGAAAUUCCUUGUCGGGUAAGUUCCGACCUGCACGAAUGGCGUAAUGAUGGCCAGGCUGUCUCCACCCGAGACUCAGUGAAAUUGAACUCGCUGUGAAGAUGCAGUGUACCCGCGGCAAGACGGAAAGACCCCGUGAACCUUUACUAUAGCUUGACACUGAACACUGGUCCUUGAUGUGUAGGAUAGGUGGGAGGCUUUGAAGCGUGGACGCCAGUCUGCGUGGAGCCGACCUUGAAAUACCACCCUUUAAUGGCUGGUGUUCUAACGUAGACCCGUAAUCCGGG
rnacentral:rRNA from 1 species